rnacentral:rRNA from 1 species
AUUGAACGCUGGCGGCAGGCUUAACACAUGCAAGUCGAGCGAGCGGCGGACGGGUGAGUAAUGUCUGGGAAACUGCCUGAUGGAGGGGGAUAACUACUGGAAACGGUAGCUAAUACCGCAUAACAUCAGAUGUGCCCAGAGGGGAUUAGCUAGGAGGUGGGGUAAUGGCUCCCCUAGGCGACGAUCGCUAGCUGGUCUGAGAGGAUGACCAGCCACCCUGGAACGGAUACAAGGUCCAGACGCCUCCGGGAGGAAGCAGUGGGGAAUAUUGCACAAUGGGCGAAAGCCUGAUGCAGCCAUGCCGCGUGUGUGAAGAAGGCCUUCGGGUUGUAAAGCACUUUCAGCGAGGAGGCGUUACUCGCAGAAGAAGCACCGGCUAACUCCGUGCCAGCAGCCGCGGUAAUAC